GACGAACGCUGGCGGCGUGCUUAACACAUGCAAGUCGAACGGUGAAGCGCCUUCCUUUUUGGUGGGUGUGGAUGAGUGGCGAACGGGUGAGUAACACGUGAGUAACCUGCCCCCUUCUUCUGGAUAACCGCAUGAAAGUGUGGCUAAUACGGGAUAUUCUGGGUCUGUCGCAUGAUGGGUCUGGGAAAGAUAUUGUUUCGGUGGGGGAUGGGCUCGCGGCCUAUCAGCUUGUUGGUGGGGUGGUGGCCUACCAAGGCGGUGACGGGUAGCCGGCCUGAGAGGGUGCCAGGGCAGGGUGGGGCGGAGACUCGGCCAAGCCUGGUCUGAGAGGCAGCAGUGGCGAAUAUGGGACGAAGGGGGCGAGACUGAUGCAGAGUGGCCGCGAGCGGGAUGGAGCCCUGCCGGGUGAGAGCUGCUGUCGUCAGGGUAGCAAGGCUGCUUCGUCUGUGGGUAGGUUGACGGUAGCGGGAGAAGAAGCGCCGGCUAACUCCGUG
rnacentral:rRNA from 1 species